CCGCCUCGUGGACAACCUGUGGCCUCCACCGAUUUUACGAUUUGACGGAGAAGAACCGUUCACAACCAGCCAGUGCUUCUCCACCCGGUGUUGCCUCUUUCCUAGGAGGAAAGCUUUCUCAAGAAAUGACAGGUUUAUGAAGGCUUUCCGUUUGGAGAAUUUCACAGUGUACAGCCCAUGACUCACUGAUGGAGUGGUGAAGGAAAUGUUCAGCAAGUUUCUCUUGAGAGCAGACAUAAGGUGGCUCAACAUCGGACCCUUGCCACGAUCAGCUCACGAUGCCAACCACUGGCACAUUACUACUUUGGUUUCAAUCAGUGGUCCAAAAGGGCAAUCAAGGAUUGUUGUCAUUCCUCAUGACAAGGAAGAUGGCCCAGAAGCUUGCUCUUCAGAUGGUUUUGUCAGAUGUACUCCAGAAACUGUCCGUUGUGGCUUAGUGUGCCCAGCGUCAUGCAAGGCAGGAGGGAUAAGAGGGUGAAUGAAGCAACUUCGUCAACUUCACAUGCUAGGGCUGUGCCGGGGAAGAAAUGAGUAGUUGAACAGAUGAAGGAGGACUGUGAAGGUAGUUUUCCUCUCCCUCUCCCUCUCCACCAGCCUCCUUCUCCCUCCACCCCCUCCGUGAGACAGGGACUCUCUGGAGUUCAGGCUAUGAACUUACUCUGUAGCCCAAGCUGGUCUCAAACUCACUGCAAUCCUCCUGCCUCAGCCUUGAGAGUGUUGGGGUUCUGUGUGCUACCAUGCCGACUUUAGGGUAGUGUUUCAAGAAAAUUAUUUAGCCUGCAAACUUUGACAUGCUAAAUGUCUAGUCCACGUGUGCCGCGAAACAUGGCCUUGUCACAGCUAGAUGAAUGACUGCUGAGCCGUGGUGGGAUGGGGAGAGUUCUGUCCUACUGAUGUGAAGAACGGGCUACUCGGAUUCAAACCCUUGCUCUUACUUGCACUUGCCCAACUCCAAAACCCUUCUGCAGAAAUUGUGGCAUCAUCAUGGAGUAUAUGCAGCCCCAGCCUAACAGAGGGGAAUGAGUUCUCCAACAUGGAACCUGAUACUGAGCGUUUAGAGCAAAUGACAACAAUGUGGAAGAAAUUGCCAUAUUGCGUACUCUGCUGCCUACCACCCUAACUGGUCCUCAUUUUGUAGGUCAGGUGCUUUUCUUGGAAGCUGUAUACGCAGGAGGAGGGAGAACUUUUGUAAGGUUGUAGCUUGGAGCAGGAAGAGCUCAGGCUGCCAGACUGGGUUACUACUUCUGAGUAUCCCAAGGCCCAGCCCUGUGACUUUCAUGGGAAGCUCUGCCAGGCCCCACCCAAAGGGCUUUGGAUGCUUACACUUCGUAGGUCUGAGGUGCCUAUCCUGCUGCCAUACAGGGAGAUGGCCCUGGAGGAAGCCACUGUCACCUCUCCUGGGGCAAAGGGUUGGCCCUGGUCCUGUAGCAAAAGGCUCCCUCGGACCACUUCAGCCCAUGUGGGGCAGAACCUCAUAAAGGUUUCUUAAACCUUUAUGUCACAAAUGGUGGGGCAGGGUGGAAAGUACAAGGUUAUCAAGCACUUGCAGCUAGUGGCUACCGGAAAGAUUCCAGCACGUUUGGUUGGAACAUUACCGGCCUAGGUCUUGGUGACCAAGCCUUCUAUCGUUUUAUUUAUACUUCACUUCUGCUCACAAGGCCCCUUGUGUGGCCACAUGUGUGACUACUGGAUUUAAUGUCUCCACUUCCGGAGUGGGCCCAAUAACCAGUCCACCUGAACUCAGAGCUCCUGGGGCCCAAAUUUUGUAUUUUUUUUUCCCUACAAGUCUAAUCUCCAAAAGGAAUCACUCCAUGCCCUUAGUGCCCCCACAGAGCUGGGGGGAUUCGAGUACCUCGGGUCCUCUGUGCCUACAAACAUGUUGCUUCCACGUAAAGAGGCGAUGGGGGAGCUGUCGCCAGAUGAGUUUACUGCUCCACAUCAGGUCUGCAGGACCAGUUUGCCCAGCAAGAGAGGCUCUCAGAGGCAGUUUCAGGUGGGGAUCAGAACCAAGCUGUAGCUUUGCCUCCUCCACUCAAAAGGAAGACAGAUUUCUGCUCUAGAGGAGGCUAUACAGGCCACCAGUCACUUUUACUUGUUCCACCUCCACUGAGUAAAAAUUGGAUGGCACCACAGUUUGUUUCCCCCCUGAACCUGAAGAAGGAUCCAGCUCAGCACUGGCAACUUGCUAAGGAGGUUUUUGGAACUUUUUAUCAAUCGGCAAAACCUAACCGGUAGAAAGAAAUCUUGCAGGAUUAUAACAUAGACCCAAGUAUGGAUACAGCUGACCACGACAGCCUUCAUCUGGGGUAUCAGGAGAACCCAGAAGAGUCUGCACAGCCCUGUGAGCACAAGGAAUCCCCACAAUUCCAGCUGGAGGCCCAAAUUCAAAAUCCAGAGCCUCCCCAAAUCCAGGAACCUAUACCUCAGGGAGAAGCCUCAUGUCAACUCUCACAGCCCCCUGAGAAAGCUGAACCUUUUUUGAGCCAUCAGAAGGCCCGCAGUCAGCAUAAACUUGCUACUGAGAAGGAUGUAAGUCAGCUAUCAGGGCAUCAGGAGGCCAAUGUUCCAUCUCCAAGUGGCCGUGAAACUCAUCCCUUGUUUUUGCCAAUUGUCAACUUGCAACCUGAGGAUGUGGGGGCUGUGGCAGCUGCAGAGAUAGAUGAGGAGGCUCAUCCUACUCCUAGGCAGCAGCAGUCCCUGGGGCAGUCUUCAGAGAAUCCUGAGGACGUAGAACCAUCUCUGUCCUCAAAGCCCACUGAGGGUGUCACACUCUCACCAGUCCAGCAAGAGCUCUCCGCUCAGCCUCCAGACUCCUCAAAGAAGAGUAGUUCUUUUCUACUGGCAGAUAGCAUGAUAUUUUCUUCUCUAGAUGUGGAAACAAUACUCACAAAUUGGCAUUUAGUGUUGCCUAAGUCGAUAGUUGCACAUGUGGAAUUGGAGGUUACUGCAACUGCAAAGUCCCCUCUGGAGGCAGAGCCUUCUGCCGCCCAGGAUUCCUCCCUGUUCAGCCCACAAGCUCAGUUCCAGAAGCUGAACGAGUAGAGCUUUCUCCAAUCCAGACUGAUCCUGCUACCCUGCCUGCAGAAUUCCUUGAAAAAUUUGAAUCUUCUUCAGCUGAAGGAGAAGUUGUAGCUCAGAAUCCAGUGCCCCGAGAGAGUUAGAUUCUGCUGCAACUCAGGAGGAGUUCCCCAGGGAAUCUUCCGCAGUGCCACUGCCAGCCUCUCCUCAGGCUCAAGAGCCAGUGCUGUAUGAGGUGACAGAUCAGCAUCCAACAGUGAACCGUGACACAAUCCCAUCUCGGGAUAUGGGCUUUACCUUAAGCCCCGAACUCACCACAGAGCCUGUCCAUUCUGUGGGCCUGCAGGAGGCUAUCGUUUCUCCUCUGAAACACCCUGAGGUGACACUUGCACAUCCAGUCCCGGGGCAGGCUCAGCGGCCCAACCUGAAUCCUGGCAUGAUUCCACCAUUGAACCUUAAAUAUGCCAGAACUUUUCUACCUACUUCAGGGGUCCAACUUUCCCUGACUUUGCAGGAGACCCCAUCUCAGCCUCCAGAACCAUCUAUGGAGCCCGUAGCUGGACCUACAGAACCACAUGAGAUGGCAAACCCAGAACCAUUAGGUCAGCACUCAGCUGAGCCUCCAGCAUCACCCAGUGUCACGGCACCACCACUGCACACGGGCUUUAUCCUAAGUCCAAAACUCACCACAGAGGCUGACCAUUCUGUGGGCCUGCAAGAUGUGACACAGGAACAUCCAGUCCUGGGACAGUCUCAGCAGCCAGACCUGAGUUUCCUGACAUGAUUGAAGCCUUUGAACCAGGAACAUCCCAAAACUGUUCUACCUACUUCAGGGUCCAACUUUCCUCCACUUUGCAGAAGACCCCAUCUCAGCCUCUAGCAUCACCCAGUGUCAUGGCACCACCACUGCAUACGAGCCUUACCGUAAGUCCUGAACUCACCACAGAGCAUGUCCAUUCUGUGGGUCCGCAGGAGGCUAUCAUUUCUCCUCUGAGACACCCUGAGGUGACACUUGCACAUCCAGACCUGGAGCAGGCUCAGCAGCCCAACCUGACUCCUGGCAUGAUUCAGCCUUUGAACCUGGAACAUUCCAGAAGCUGAACUUUCUCCAAUCCAGACUGAUUCCUCAAGCUCGGGUUUCUCCAGGUGGGAAACACAGCAUACUCCCUUGUCAGGAACAUGUGUUCCUUUUUGAGAAGAGAGACAGUGAGCAGAUAGAGCAUUUGUUGUUGUUGUUGUUCCCAAAGGACAAGUAAGCAGAUGGUGAUUAGUGCUUGCUCUGAAAUGUGUCAAAGGUAUAAUCUCCAACUAUGUCACCCACAUACUUACCUGAUUAUCUGUCCAGAAUCCACCUCUCUCCUCAGUAGCACAGAAUGAGCAAAGAAAAGGGGGAAAUUGUGAAGGGAGCUCAUACUAAGAGGGAUGCAGAUAGCGUGCUUCUCUCUGAAAACACAUUUUUCAUACCUCGGACGCUCGCUUGGCCUCAAUGAUGCAGUGGUUUGGAGUGUGGAGUCCACGGCCAAGAGGCCCUACUUCUGUUCUUUAGUAGCUGUGUCACAUUUUCUCUGAGCUUCAGUUUCUCCAUUUGUAAAGUGGGAAUUACUUAAACAUACAUCUAAGUAUUGUUAAAGGGAUUAAAUAGCAUAAUUUAUGGAAAUGAUCAGUAAGCACAGUGUCCAACACCCAUUGAAAGUGUUUGUUUUGGUUACCUAUGGCUGAAUAACAAACUGUCCCCAAAACUUUCUGGUUUAAAAUGAUAACUAUUUUAUUAUCCCUCAUGAUUCUGUGGGUCGACUGAACUCAGGUGGGCAGUUCUGUCGCAUGUGAGGCCAGCUGGAAUUGCAGCCAUCGAGGGCUCAGCUGACUGCAGACUAACUGUGGCGAUGGAUAGGGAUAGCUGGAAGGCGGAGCUCAGCUGGAAUGACUGCUUCUUUCCUCUCCUUGGAGUAUCACAGCAUCUCCUCCACACGAUCUAGAUCUAGACAGUAAGGUAGUUGUACUUACUACGUGGCAGAUUUCUUCACUACAGAGCAAAAGUAAAAGAUCCCAGCCCUUCACACUUGGCCCAGAAUUGGCACGUUUUAUCUUCUGGCACAUCCUCUUUAUUAAAAUGACUCAUCAGUUCAGUCCAAAUACAAAGUGGGAGGAGAGUACACGGGUAUGAAUAUUGGGAGGCACUGUCCGUUGGGGAGUACCUUUGGAAAGCAACUACUACAUCGGUUAAUAAUAUUUUCAGUGUUGAUGUUAUGGCUUGUGUAUUGCUGCCCCCCAAAAGCCUCAUGCAGUCAUGGGGGGGGGCUUUCCUGGAAUUGAUUCAUGGUAUAAUGCUAUACUCAAGGGCCCUAGGACUGAGGGUGUGAGAGCUACCUGCCCUAAGUAAUCUUCAUAAAAUAAAGGGGGCAGAAAGGUGCCGAAAGAAAGC